CAGUAGCCGCGGGAAUACGAGGGGGGCAAGCGUUGUUCGGAUUUAUUGGGCGUAAAGGGUGCGUAGGCGGUUUGGCAAGUCUUGUGUGAAAUCCCCGGGCUCAACCUGGGAACUGCAUCUUAUACUGCGUAGCUGGAGUGCAGUAGAGGGUAGUGGAAUUUCCGGUGUAGCGGUGAAAUGCGUAGAUAUCGGAAGGAACACCAGUGGCGAAGGCGGCUACCUGGACUGACACUGACACUGAGGCGCGAAAGCGUGGGGAGCAAACAGGAUUAGAUACCCGCGUAGUCCCUGUCUCUUAUAC
rnacentral:rRNA from 1 species